rnacentral:tRNA from 1 species
GGAUACAGCUCAGUUGGUAGAGUGCCUGCCUCACAUGUACAAGGCCCUGGGUUCAAUCCCCAGCACCA